CUGAGUACAGCCAAGGCAAUCAUCCAGACAAAGUUGUUUUUACUAUUUUGGUAUGUAAUAAUACAGAGGGGGAAAGAUAUUUAAUUGUCAACAAUAUAUUUGGUGUUCUACGACAGUCAAGAUUAUUAGUCCUUGAUUACAGAUCCCCAAACCACCUCAGAACUGAUUUCAGAACCUUUAAUACAAAACUGCUAACCGGAAGUAGACCAGCUUAAAUUCAUAAAUUCAGUGAGACCACUCCAGAUUUAUACCAAAACUAAUGGUGAUCAGAAUUUGGUCUAAAUGUCUCCAUUAUGACCAACCUCUAUUUGUUCCAUAAAGAGAAAUGUACAUCACAGAGGGAGGUAAUUUACAAUUUUUAUAACCAUUAUAAUUUGUAGUACACAACUAACCACAUGGCCAUUCUUUCAAAGCAUGAA
rnacentral:lncRNA from 1 species